rnacentral:tRNA from 1 species
GCUGGCAUGGCUCAGUGGUUGAGCAUCGGCCUAGGAACCAGGAGGCCAUGGUUCGAUUCCAUGUCAGGGCA